GAGAGUUUGAUCCUGGCUCAGAUUGAACGCUGGCGGCGUGCCUAACACAUGCAAGUCGAGCGGCAGCGCGGGAGCAAUCCUGGCGGCGAGCGGCGGACGGGUGAGCAAUAUUUGGGAAUCUGCCUAUUAGUGGGGGACAACCCGGGGAAACUCGGGCUAAUACCGCAUACGCACUACGGUGGAAAGCCGGGGACCGCAAGGCCUGGCGCUAAUAGAUGAGCCCAAAUCGGAUUAGCUAGUUGGUGAGGUAAUGGCUCACCAAGGCUACGAUCCGUAGCUGGUCUGAGAGGACGACCAGCCACACCGGGACUGAGACACGGCCCAGACUCCUACGGGAGGCAGCAGUGGGGAAUAUUGGACAAUGGGCGCAAGCCUGAUCCAGCCACGCCGCGUGUGUGAUGAAGGCCUUCGGGUCGUAAAGCACUGUGGGGAGGGAAGAAUGAGCAGCGGGAACAAUACCCCGCUGCUGUGACGGUACCUCCUUAGCAAGCACCGGCUAACUCCGUGCCAGCAGCCGCGGUAAUACGGAGGGUGCAAACGUUGCUCGGAAUCAUUGGGCGUAAAGCGCGUGUAGGCGGUCUGUUUAGUCGAGUGUGAAAGCCCUGGGCUUAACCCAGGAAGUGCGCUCGAUACUGGCAGACUUGAGUACGGGAGAGGGUAGCGGAAUUCCCGGUGUAGAGGUGAAAUUCGUAGAUAUCGGGAGGAACACCAGUGGCGAAGGCGGCUACCUGGACCGAUACUGACGCUGAGACGCGAAAGCGUGGGUAGCAAACAGGAUUAGAUACCCUGGUAGUCCACGCCGUAAACGAUGAGUGCUAGGUGUCGCGGGUAUUGACCCCUGCGGUGCCGCAGUUAACGCAUUAAGCACUCCGUCUGGGGAGUACGGCCGCAAGGCUAAAACUCAAAGGAAUUGACAGGGGCCCGCACAAGCGGUGGAGCAUGUGGUUCAAUUCGACGCAACGCGAAGAACCUUACCUGGGUUGGAAACCUCCGGAACCCUCUGGAGACAGAGGGGUGCCCUUCGGGGAGCCGGAUGUCCAGGUGCUGCAUGGCUGUCGUCAGCUCGUGUCGUGAGAUGUUGGGUUAAGUCCCGCAACGAGCGCAACCCUUGUCUUUAGUUGCCAACGGUUCGGCCGGGCUACUCUAAAGAGACUGCCGGUGUUAAACCGGAGGAAGGUGGGGAUGACGUCAAGUCCUCAUGGCCCUUAUGCCCAGGGCUACACACGUGCUACAAUGGCGGCUACAAAGGGCUGCGACACCGCGAGGUGAAGCUAAUCCCAAAAAAGCCGCCUCAGUUCGGAUAGAAGUCUGCAACUCGACUUCUUGAAGCCGGAAUCGCUAGUAAUCGCAGAUCAGAACGCUGCGGUGAAUACGUUCCCGGGCCUUGUACACACCGCCCGUCACACCAUGGGAGUCGGAUGCUCCAGAAGUGGCUGAGCUAACCCGAAAGGGAGGCAGGUCCCCAAGGAGUGUCCGGUGACUGGGGUGAAGUCGUAACAAGGUAGCCGUAG
rnacentral:rRNA from 1 species